rnacentral:rRNA from 1 species
AUUGAACGCUGGCGGCAGGCCUAACACAUGCAAGUCGAGCGAGCGGCGGACGGGUGAGUAAUGUCUGGGAAACUGCCUGAUGGAGGGGGAUAACUACUGGAAACGGUAGCUAAUACCGCAUACCAUCAGAUGUGCCCAGAUGGGAUUAGCUAGUAGGUGGGGUAACGGCUCACCGAGGCAACUACCCCUAGCUGGUCUGAGAGGAUGACCAUCUACACUGAACCUGAGCCACGGUCCAGAGUCCGACGGGAGGCAGCAGUGGGUAAUAUUGCACAAUGGGCGCAAGCCUGAUGCAGCCAUGCCGCGUGUGUGAAGAAGGCCUUCGGGUUGUAAAGCACUUUCAGCGGGGAGGCGUUACCCGCAGAAGAAGCACCGGCUAACUCCGUGCCAGCCGCCGCGGUAAUUC